GGCGUGGAUUAGGCAUGCAAGUCGAACGAGCCUCUGGGGGGUAACUCCUAGAGGAAAGUGGCGAAAGGGGCAGUAAUGUAUGGGUAACCUACCUUGAGGUCUGGGAUAGCUAUUCUAACGGAUAGGUAAUACCGGACGGCCUGAGUUGUCGGCAUCGAUGAUUUAGUAAAGGUUACGCCUCGAGAGGGGCCCAUAUGAUAUUAGCUAGUUGGUGAGGUAAUGGCUCACCAAGGCAAAGAUGUCUAGCGGGUGUGAGAGCACGACCCGCGUCACUGGCACUGAGACACUGGCCAGACUCCUACGGGAGGCUGCAGUCGAGGAUCUUCGGCAAUGGACGCAAGUCUGACCGAGCAACGCCGCGUGUGCGAUGAAGGCCUUCGGGUUGUAAAGCACUGUCGAGGGGAAACAAGCCGUAAGGUUGAGUGACCCCUGGAGGAAGCACGGGCUAAGUUCGUGCCAGCAGCCGCGGUAAGACGAACCGUGCAAACGUUAUUCGGAAUCACUGGGCUUAAAGGGCGCGUAGGCGGGUAAUCAA
rnacentral:rRNA from 1 species